rnacentral:rRNA from 1 species
CCUACGGGUGGCAGCAGUGGGGAAUAUUGGACAAUGGGCGAAAGCCUGAUCCAGCCAUGCCGCGUGUGUGAAGAAGGCCUUCGGGUUGUAAAGCACUUUCAGUGGGGAAGAAAGCCUUGGGGCUAAUACCCUCGAGGAAGGACAUCACCCACAGAAGAAGCACCGGCUAACUCCGUGCCAGCAGCCGCGGUAAUACGGAGGGUGCGAGCGUUAAUCGGAAUUACUGGGCGUAAAGCGCGCGUAGGCGGUCUGAUAAGCCGGUUGUGAAAGCCCCGGGCUCAACCUGGGAACGGCAUCCGGAACUGUCAGGCUAGAGUGCAGGAGAGGAAGGUAGAAUUCCCGGUGUAGCGGUGAAAUGCGUAGAGAUCGGGAGGAAUACCAGUGGCGAAGGCGGCCUUCUGGACUGACACUGACGCUGAGGUGCGAAAGCGUGGGUAGCAAACAGGAUUAGAUACCCCAGUAGC